rnacentral:rRNA from 1 species
GACGAACGCUGGCGGCGUGGAUUAGGCAUGCAAGUCGAGCGACGGACCUUCGGGUUACGGAGCGGCGAACGGGUGAGUAACACGUGAACAAUCUACCCUCUCAUUCCGGAUAAUUGGCUGAAAAGCCUUGUAAUACGGGGGAGGUUCCAAUUGAGGCAUCUCAUGUUGGAACGAACAGGUAACUGGUGCGAGGAGGAGUU